UGUCAAUGUUAUUGGCAUGAGCCUUAAGGUAUGGGCAUGGUUAGGCAACUUCAUUUCCGUGGAAAGAAGAGCACAAGAUGGAUGCAUCUGGAAGUUGCAGGCCGUGCACUUAAAGAAGUUGGUGCUGGCCAUGGAGAGGAUGGUUCUUGAGUGACAUAGGCGACAAAGCACAAAAUUCGUGCAGUUGAAAGUCGCAUUCAUGGCAAACGAACCUCUUGCCAGCGCCAUACUCCUUGCAACCGGAACAAGUGAAGAGUUCAGGCAUUGUCAUUGAUGUUAGAGGAUGGUUUGGAUGGAAACGGAACAUUCUUUCGUUUUCUUCCAUUGCUGAUUGUGGGGAUGCUGGGAACUCAAAUGUGGGAGUUGAAAAAUGGGUUUUCUUCCAGUCGUCAUUGUUAUCUUUGGGGAAUGGAGUAGGAUGAGUAGUUCUAGUGUUCAUGAAUGGAGUCGAGGAUGAUGAUCUUUGCAUCAUAGAAACGCGAUGAAACGUAGAGGUAUUCAUCUAGAUGGAGAUGGUGGUUAUUAUUAUUAUUGGUGGUGGUGUUGAUGGAAAAUAGGGUGUUAUUUAUACCAGUUGUGAAGUGAUUUUGUGGAUUUUAAUUUAUUAAUGUAUUGUCUGAGGCUGAAAAAGAUUUAUACAAUAAUAUGAAAAAUAGAGAACAAACAUGAGGGUCCUGUAAACAAAAGCUUUAAGUGUGAUUCUCCAAAUGACAACUUUUGAAAAUUUUGCCAGGUGAAGUUGGAGACAGUGGGA